AUUUAUCGGUGAUGGAUGGGGAUGCGUCUGAUUAGCUUGUUGGCGGGGUAACGGCCCACCAAGGCUACGAUCAGUAGGGGUUCUGAGAGGAAGGUCCCCCACAUUGGAACUGAGACACGGUCCAAACUCCUACGGGAGGCAGCAGUGAGGAAUAUUGGUCAAUGGGCGAGAGUCUGAACCAGCCAAGUAGCGUGCAGGAAGACGGCCCUAUGGGUUGUAAACUGCUUUUAUAAGGGAAUAAAGUGAGUCUCGUGAGACUUUUUGCAUGUACCUUAUGAAUAAGGACCGGCUAAUUCCGUGCCAGCAGCCGCGGUAAUACGGAAGGUCCGGGCGUUAUCCGGAUUUAUUGGGUUUAAAGGGAGCGUAGGCCGGAGAUUAAGCGUGUUGUGAAAUGUAGACGCUCAACGUCUGCACUGCAGCGCGAACUGGUUUCCUUGAGUACGUACAAAGUGGGCGGAAUUCGUGGUGUAGCGGUGAAAUGCUUAGAUAUCACGAAGAACUCCGAUUGCGAAGGCAGCUCACUGGAGCGCAACUGACGCUGAAGCUCGAAAGUGCGGGUAUCGAACAGGAUUAGAUACCCUGGUAGUCCGCACGGUAAACGAUGGAUGCCCGCUGUUGGUCUGAAUAGGUCAGCGGCCAAGCGAAAGCAUUAAGCAUCCCACCUGGGGAGUAC
rnacentral:rRNA from 1 species